UACAGAGGGUGCAAGCGUUGUUCGGAAUUAUUGGGCGUAAAGCGCGUGUAGGCGGCUUUGCAAGUCGGAUGUGAAAGCCCGGGGCUCAACCCCGGGAGGCGGAUGGAUACUGCUUGGCUCGAGUCCGGAAGAGGCGAGUGGAAUUCCCGGUGUAGCGGUGAAAUGCGCAGAUAUCGGGAGGAACACCAAUGGCGAAGGCAGCUCUCUGGGACGGUACUGGACGCUGAGACGCGAAAGCGUGGGGAGCGAACGAGG
rnacentral:rRNA from 1 species